UGCCUCCUUGAGCGCACCACAGGCUGUGCUCUUGCACUGACUGAAUAGAAAAAGGAGGUGAAGUAAGGGCCCUGUCUACACCUCAACCCAAGCCCUGUGCCUGCUUUUGUGUUGUGAAUGGGACAACGUGG